GUUCACCUGUGUGUGUAUGGUGUUCAGCACCAGGGGUAGGUGUGUUCACCUGUGUGUGUAUGGUGUUCAGCACCAGGGGUAGGUGUGUUCAAAU
rnacentral:pre_miRNA from 1 species